rnacentral:rRNA from 1 species
AAGGCGAAAUGAAAGUGAAAGUCGGCCUCGCGCCGACCUAGGGAGGAUGGGUCGCGUCACGGCGCGACCCCGCACUCCCGGGGCGUCUCGUUCUCAUUGCGAGAAGAGGCGCACCAAGAGCGUACACGCUGGGACCCGAAAGAUGGUGAACUAUGCCUGGUCAGGACGAAGUCAGGGGAAACCCUGAUGGAGGUCCGAAGCGAUUCUGACGUGCAAAUCGAUCGUCGGAACUGGGUAUAGGGGCGAAAGACUAAUCGAACCAUCUAGUAGCUGGUUCCCUCCGAAGUUUCCCUCAGGAUAGCUGGCGCUCGCUUUUGCGAGUCUCAUCUGGUAAAGCGAAUGAUUAGAGGCAUUGGGGUCGAAACGGCCUCAACCUAUUCUCAAACUUUAAAUGGGUGAGAUCUCCGGCUUGCUUAAAACGUGAAGCCGCGAGAUCGGAUCAGAGUGCCAAGUGGGCCAUUUUUGGUAAGCAGAACUGGCGCUGUGGGAUGAACCAAACGCAGAGUUAAAGCUCCAAAAUCAACGCUUAUGGGAUACCAUGAAAGGCGUUGGUAACUUAAGACAGCAGGACGGUGGCCAUGGAA